UGAAGUCUAGUCAAAUCAUUUCUGUCCUGCCGUGGCUCGGACUGGCCCAGUGGCUGCCACAGAAAGCCCCAGAGUCCGUGGGCCCUGGCUCCCUGCCCUGGGACCUGAAGAUAAGUGUGGCUGUGGACGCGG
rnacentral:snoRNA from 1 species